UUGCAGUCCAGGAAUCCUUCCUUCAACGGAAUAGAACCUUACCUAACAGAUCGAGGGGAUCAACGACAUCUUCAAAAGUGCAAACGUGUCAAGAGCUAGGUGAAUACUCAUCGAAAUAAGACAGUUUGCAAGGGAAACAA